UAGAGGAAGUAAAAGUCGUAACAAGGUUUCCGUAGGUGAACCUGCGGAAGGAUCAUUACCGAAUUGUCAAACGGGUUGUUGCUGGUCUUCAAACGGGGACAUGUGCACGCUCUGUUUACACAUCCACUCACACCUGUGCACCCUCCGUAGUUCUAUGGUCUGGGGGACCCUGUCUUCCCGCCGUGGUUCUACGUCUUUACACACACUCUGUAAUAAAGUCUUAUGGAAUGUAUGCCGCGUCUAACGCAAUACAAUACAACUUUCAGCAACGGAUCUCUUGGCUCUCGCAUCGAUGAAGAACGCAGCGAAAUGCGAUAAGUAAUGUGAAUUGCAGAAUUCAGUGAAUCAUCGAAUCUUUGAACGCACCUUGCGCCCCUUGGCUAUUCCGAGGGGCAUGCCUGUUUGAGUAUCAUGAACACCUCAACUCUCAUGGUUCGCCAUGAUGAGCUUGGACUCUGGGGGUUUUGCUGGCCUGCGGUCGGCUCCCCUCAAAUGAAUCAGCCUCCCAGUGUUUGGUGGCAUCACGGGUGUGAUAAAUAUCUACGCUCGCGGUUGUCCGCCAGGUAACCUUUGGUGACAAAGGUUUGCUGGAGCUCACAGAUGUCUCUCCUCGGCGAGGACAGCUUUUUUGAACGUUCGAUCUCAAAUCAGGUAGGACUACCCGCUGAACUUAAG
rnacentral:rRNA from 1 species